rnacentral:rRNA from 1 species
UACGAAGGGGGCUAGCGUUGCUCGGAAUCACUGGGCGUAAAGCGCGCGUAGGCGGUCAGGCAAGUCGGGUGUGAAAGCCCUGGGCUCAACCUGGGAAUUGCAUUCGAAACUAUCUGACUCGAGUAUGGGAGAGGGAAGCGGAAUUUCCGGUGUAGCGGUGAAAUGCGUAGAUAUCGGAAGGAACACCAGUGGCGAAGGCGGC